AGAGGCAUUCCAAGAAGCUUCAGAGCAUUCUCAGCGGAUUUCAGAAACGUUACAGAUGCGUUACAUGGCGUUUUCUGGGGUUUCGGAGGGUCUGAGGUGCGUUACAUGGGGUUUCUGGGGGUAUUAGGGGGAUUUUGAAGGCAUUCCAAAGAGCUUCAGAGCAUUUUCGGCGGAUUUCAGAAACGUUACGGAGGCGUUACAUGGCGUUUUCUGGGGUUUCGGAGGGUCUGAGAUGCGUUACAUGGGGUUUCUGGGGGUUUUAGGGGGAUUUUGGAGACAUUCCAAAGAGCUUCAGAGCACUUUCGGCGGAUUUCAGAAACGUUACGGAGGCGUUACAUGGCGUUUUCUGGGGUUUCGGAGGGUCUGAGGUGCGUUACAUGGGGUUUCUGGGGGUACCGUCUUACCCCGCUGGUUUGACACGUUUUAAUACGACACUUUUUAAUUCGUACCCCGCUUAUUCGACAAAUGUCGAAUUAAAAAGAGUUCAAAUGUCACAGCGAUGUACACUGUAAAUGCAAAACAGUUCUAUAUUGUGCUUAUACUCGCACCCGCAGCAGCUCCACUUGCAGCCGAUAAUUACGGAAGCUCGAAGUUUGUGCUAUUCGACACCCAAACCGCCUGGAGACGAACCGGAAUGAACUGAGGAUGGAAAAAAUCGUAGAAAAAACUAGAUUUUCUUUCGAACCACCGCAAUAUCUGUUGAAAUUAUGUUUCAUAACAAAUCUGGAAAUCAAAACAAAAACAAAAAUAAAGUUGCCAAAUUUCAAUGAGCAAGAUGGUGUAGGGUAACCAGUUUGCCGAAUCAAGUUUACCCCGGUUAUUCGACAACAGUCGGUGUCGUAUUACCGGGGUAAUACGGUAGUCAAAGCUAGAAACCGGAAGAUAAAGAGUAGUUAUUUCAAAUAAGGGUAAAUAAUUGCUGUUUUGUUGGGAACUCUAAGAGUUCUGGAGAGCCAAAGUUGAGCAAUUUCGCUUUUUUGCGCUGCGUCUCAAGAGGGUUAUUGGAAUAUUUGAUGCUGGAGGCCUGGGAAGAUUUUCUGUUGAAAUCUAGUCUCAGAAAAAAAAACCCCAGUAGGAAUCAUGAGAGGAACAUCAGAAAAAAAUCCCGGGAAGAAUCCAUGAAGCCAUUAAGGUAUUUUCAAGCAAAACCUGGAAGAAUCCGGGAGGAAUCCCUGAAGAAAUUACAGUAAAAUGUCGUAUGAAAUCCCUGGAAGAAAGACAGAAUCCUGAAGGAAUUCUUUAAGCAAUCCCUUGAUGUAUUCGUAAAGGAAUCAAGUGAGAAUGAACAAUCCUGGAGGAAUUCCUGCAGGAAUCUCUGGAGGAAUCCUUGGAGAAAGCUCUGGAGAAUUUCCGGAGGGAUCACUGAUGGCUUCUUUGAAGGAAUCUCUGGAGAAAUUCUGGCAGAAAUCAACGAAGGAAUUUCAUCAUAAUUGCCUAAAUGAAUUCUG